AUCAACACAUGAAGACUGGUGGAGAAUACCAUUUUUUCUAAUAUAUGACUGAAUCAAUUCUGACAUAUGUUCUUUAGCAUUGUCACUCCUUCAAAUACGUAUCGAAGCAUGGAAUUGAGUUUUGACUUCAGCACAAAAGAGACAAAAGUGGGUUAACGGGUCUUCAUAAAAUAAAUCCAAGUCAUUCGAGAGAAAUCAUCUAUAAAAUAAUUUCUCUUCUCCGGUCAGGCAGUUGCAAGGAUAGAAGCAGCAACGAGGCAGUAGCCUCGCAAAACCUAAUCGAACCUUCUCUCUCUUCUUUCAGAGCGACAACAACACCCAAAUUCUGGUUGAGCAGCAACAAAGACAAGCACUGCUUAGGACCAAGAGGUUCAAGUUUAGGUUGGUCAAAGACAAAUCUCAACAGAUCUGGUUGCGCCGUUUGAGUAUGUUAAAUAUCGGUGUGUCCUUAUUUUCAUUUUAAUGAAAUCUGCAUCUUGUAAUACAGAUCGAGUUGUUGAUUCUUGACUGGAAAUUGUUUUUAUUAAAUUGUCCCUUAAAACAAUCUUUUUCUUUUCGGCUUAUCGAAAUUUAUACUCCUCGAUCAUUUUUUAUUUAAUUCUCCUAACAUAUUGAUUGCUUCCUUUAAUUGAUGCUUUAUAUACUAAUCCGUUAAUAAUUCUUGCAUAUGAUUGAUCGGACAAUUAUGAUUGAUUCUUUGAAAUUUGCCUGACCCAAAUUAACGCAAUUUGUUGUAGUAUGAGUUGAAGCUUUUGGCUAAGUUAUACAUAAUGGAUGCCUUAAAUUGAUUCUUCUGCCAUAUAUAUCUCUUGACAGAUCUCUUGAUCUCUUACCUAUUCAAUUAUGAUAGUAAUUUAUUACAAUAUGAGACUAUUAGAUUUCGACUUGGAACGGUAAUUAUUCUUUUUACUUUAACAAUCCUUUCUUUCGCCUGUUUAUCAUAUAAUAUUAAUUGAUGGUUUGGUUUAAAUUGAUUUUUUUGCCUUAUACAUAUUUUGACAGAUUUUACGUAUUUAUUUUUGGUAAAUCUUUACUCGUUUGGUAAAUUACUUGACUGAUUUGGAUCUCUUUAUAUAAAGAAAAUAUAUUUUAAUAGAAUCAAUUAAUUAUUUUCCUGUUUGCCUGACUUGUCUUUGACUAUAUAAAGAGACCCUUUGCUUCAUUAUUUUCUCACGCUUCAACAACAAUAAAAUAUUCCCUGAAAAGAAAAUAGUGUUCUUAAAAUAUUAAUUGGAAGACUCCUUUGACUAGACCUGCAGUUUUCAAACUAAUUUGGAUUCAAGUCUUUGUCGAUUAUAUAUUUCACUACUUAAUCGGUUAGUUUUUCUAUGCUUAAUUCAUGUCUUACAUUAAGAUAUCGUUUAGUGUUGCAUAAAGUUCAUAAUGUUGAAAUAAAAGCAAGCAUACAUGUACUCAGUCUACAUCCCCUCUUGAUGCUUGGGAUGUUGUAUUUGUAUGAAUGUGCAUGAUUCACUAUCGUUUAUAGUGUUCAUGUUCUUUUUGUUAAAAUUAAUUCCUCUAACUGGUAGUAUAUAUAUUUUGUGUUUUUGUGCAUUUUUUGUAUACUGUGAAGAUGAACAGGUUAAUUUACAAGAUGAGAACAGCUGCAAGGGAUGGUGUUCGGGUUGAGGAUAUUCUGUUUAAGAUGAUUAUUUAAUUAUUGUACUUUUCUUGUUAGUAUUCUUUAUUUGGGUUGUAAUAAUUUGUAUUAAACUCUGCUCUAUAUAUAAUAUAUAAUUUGGGGG
rnacentral:lncRNA from 1 species